rnacentral:rRNA from 1 species
AGGUCCCGCCUGCCCAGAGACGGGAUUUAACGGCCGCGGUACUCUGACCGUGCAAAGGUAGCACAAUCACUUGUUCUCUAAAUAGGGACUAGAAUCAACGGCAUCACGAGGGUCUUACUGUCUCCUUUUUCCAAUCAGUGAAACUGAUCUUCCCGUGAAGAAGCGGGAAUAACUUUAUAAGACGAGAAGACCCCAUGGAGCUUUAAACUCAAUAGUUACCCCAUGCAAACUACACGACAACUAAGGGAAAUAACUAUUAAUUUUAGGUUGGGGUGACCGCGGAGAAUAGUCCAACCUCCGCAAUGAAAAGAAUAAAAUCCUUAUCUACGAGUAACACCUCUAAGAAUUAACAGAUUAACAUAUAAUGAUCCAAUUUUAUUUUUGAUCAAUGAACCAAGUUACCCUGGGGAUAACAGCGCCAUCCACUUUGAGAGUUCAUAUCGACAAGUGGGUUUACGACCUCGAUGUUGGAUCAGGGUAUUCCAGUGGUGCAGCCGCUACUAAAGGUUCGUUUGUUCAACGAUUAAAACCCU